rnacentral:tRNA from 1 species
GCCUGGGUGGCUCAGUUGGUUGAGCGUCUGACUUCGGCUCAGAUCAUGACCUCACGGUUCGUGAGUUCAAGCCCCAUGUCAGGCU